AGUGCAGGCAGUAAAAAACUAAUCAAAAAAAAAUAUAUAUAUAUAUAAUAACAAACAAAGUAAUCACAUAAAAGCUAUCCUAAAAUAGUAUGUUUUAAUAGUAUGAUGCUAUUUUAAAGAUCAUUAUUUUGUGUAUUUGGUGUAAUAGAAUAUGUUGAUAUGCUUUAAUGUUCAGAUACUGUAGAUUAUUGUAGUUCCUCUAUGCCCCGCCUCUCUCAAACGCAUAAAGCCCCUCCUUCCGACAAGCGCAGUCUGCUCUGAUUGGCCAGCUGACCCAGUGCAUUGUGAUUGGCCGAACACCACAAGCACGGAAAUGUAACGCCCCUUUCCAUAAGCGCAAGCUUCAGCUUUCAAUAUAAAUGCAAAGACAGUAAAUAAUGUCCUUAGUUUUACCAUCAGUUCAAGCCCGAAAGGGGAACAGAGACAGACACAGUGAUGAAGCUUGUAUGUAUUUGCAGUACACAAGCCGUGAUUAAAAGCUGACUCCACUGAUGCAGAGGCGUAGUAAUAGGGCAGGCAAUUGCCUGGGGCCCCACAUUUUGAGGGGGCCCCGACAACUGACCAUUUGAACAAUCGGAAAUGUCAUUAUUAAUAUAACAUGGAACAAUAUAUCUGCAUCUCCCCUAGGGGGCCCCCUCUCGCAUUACGCUGGAUGCGCUUGUUUUUGUUUUUACUUGCCCGACCGGACAAAUAACUUGAUUAGACAUAAGUGAUGAGCGUAAAAGCACACAUAAAGAAACUCAGAAGAAACACACUUGAGGUAAAAAUUCUAAAUGUUUAGUUUAUUCCUAACAUGAUAUAGUUAAGUAACACACCAUGACAAGUGAGCUAUUUUUGAGCUAUAAAAACAACACAUACAGAGUGCAUGCAUUACCGAAGUCUAGUCUGGCUCUUUCACUGCAUGAUUCAGUCUAUUAAAAUACAUUCAGAAUGAUCACAAAUUCAAAACAUGGGAGCAGAAAAUGUAAAUUUUUAUACCACUUCAUAUAGUCAAUCAAUUUCACAUGAAGAGUCCGUUUUUUUCCUCCAAAAAUGACCAUGAUUAUAAAUGUAGUAUUUUUUUACAACAGUUCAAUACACUAGAAGUUAAUUAAGAGACCCGUAUUGCCUGUUUUUGCACUAUUUCGACAACAUAAAUAAUUCCAAACAAAGCCACUUAUCUUUAAUAGAGAUCAGUGGUCACAGAGCUAUUUGCAUCUCUGAUCAACAUGACAGUGUUUCGUUCCUGAAUGAAUCAAACAUUUAAACGAUUAAUUUCAAUCGCAGUGACUCACUUAUUAGCAGUGACUUGCUGCCACCUACUGGAGGUUUUAAUUUCACAUUUAAAGUACCUUUUUAUUAUUUAAAUAAUUUCAAAUAUCAGUAUUGAACAUUUUAUGUUUAAUAUAUCAAAACAUUAAUUAUGUAUUUGUAAAAAAAAAUAGGCCUUUGUAAAGGUAAAUAAAAAUAUGCAGAUUUAAGUAUUUAAAAGCUGAUAGAACACUGAUGAAAAUAUUACUUCAGAUUAAAUUGUUACUGUUAAUAUUAAGAUUGUACUGUUUCUUCAAGAUUGCAUUGUACAGUAUUGUAUCUUCUGCCAUAAAGAUGAAGACUGAUAUUUUGUUAAAGAAUAAGCAC
ensembl:lncRNA